rnacentral:rRNA from 1 species
AGAACCCUACGGGACGCAGCAGUAAGGGAUAUUGGUCAAUGGGGGAAACCCUGAACCAGCAACGCCGCGUGAGGGAAGACGGUUUUCGGAUUGUAAACCUCUGUCCUCUGUGAAGAUGAUGACGGUAGCAGAGGAGGAAGCUCCGGCUAACUACGUGCCAGCAGCCGCGGUAGUACGUAGGGAGCGAGCGUUGUCCGGAUUUACUGGGUGUAAAGGGUGCGUAGGCGGCGGUGCAAGUCAGGAGUGAAAUCCAUGGGCUUAACC